CCUACGGUGGCAGCAGUGGGGGAUAUUGCACAAUGGGGGGAACCCUGAUGCAGCGACGCCGCGUGGGUGAAGAAGCGCCUCGGCGCGUAAAGCCCUGUCAGCAGGGAAGAAAAUGACGGUAACUGAAGAAGAAGCCCCGGCUAACUACGUGCCAGCAGCCGCGGUAAUACGUAGGGGGCAAGCGUUAUCCGGAUUUACUGGGUGUAAAGCGGGCGCAGACGGGGUUGCAAGCCAGUAGUGAAAGCCCGGGGCCCAACCCCAGGACUGCUCUUGGAACUGAGUGGCUGGAGUACAGGAGGGGCAGGCGGAAUGCCUGGUGUAGCGGUGAAAUGCGUAGAUAUCAGGAGGAACACCGAUGGCGAAGGCAGCCUACUAAACUGCAACUGACAUUGAGGCCCGAAAGCGUGGGGAGCAAACAGGAUUAGAUACCCCAGUAGUC
rnacentral:rRNA from 1 species